AGAGUUUGAUUAUGGCUCAGGAUGAACGCUAGCUACAGGCUUAACACAUGCAAGUCGAGGGGCAGCGGGAUUGAAGCUUGCUUCAAUUGCCGGCGACCGGCGCACGGGUGAGUAACGCGUAUCCAACCUUCCGUACACUCAGGGAUAGCCUUUCGAAAGAAAGAUUAAUACCUGAUGGUAUCUUAAGCACACAUGUAAUUAAGAUUAAAGAUUUAUCGGUGUACGAUGGGGAUGCGUUCCAUUAGGUAGUAGGCGGGGUAACGGCCCACCUAGCCUACGAUGGAUAGGGGUUCUGAGAGGAAGGUCCCCCACAUUGGAACUGAGACACGGUCCAA
rnacentral:rRNA from 1 species